rnacentral:lncRNA from 1 species
AAACCCAUGAAAGAGGAUCCUGAAAGAGCAAGGGCGGCCUCCAGGUGAAGGUGGUGGGCGGCCUCCAGGUGAAGGCGGCCUCCAGGUGAAGGUGGUCAGCACCCUCCCUUUGGCCAAGAGGAGACUGCAGUUUCAACUCAAAGAUUAUUCCUGAAUGAUGCAGCAAGCUUAAACUUCCUUAAAAACAAACCUCUGGGAAGAGGAAAACGAGGCAAGAUGCUGAGAAAAAGUCAUCUCCCACUCUGCCCUUCUCUGGCAAAUCGAAGUGUCCUCUUGUGGGAGGCGGUGGGCAGCGACACUCCUGUUGGACGUCAGUGCUCUCGGGAUGGGCCCGGCCACCCCGGAGCAGAACUCACUUAGGGCCUGGUGCCCCUGUGCCCAGUUCUCAGAACGUCGGAGUGCUCAGUUCUCAGAACGCCGGAGUGCCCCAUUCAUAACCUGCAGCCCCGUUCAUAGCCUGCAGCUCCCCUCCUUCCUCUCCUCCCGGUCGUCAGGGAGCACCCCCAGCUCCCCUCCCCACUCUCAAACCCUCCUCCUCCCUCCCCUCUCUCAUUUCCCUGUUUGCAGGAUCUCCUCCUGCCCACUCUCCAGCCCAGGUCCUCCCCUCUCAUCUCCAAUUCUGCUUCAUGGGCCAUGACAGCAGGCAGGCCAUGGCCUGCUCUCAGCAGUUUGAUCGAUGGACUAAGGAGAUCACUCCUAUGAGAGUGAAAAAGUCAAAUGUGCCUGAGAUUCGGAUGGGGAGCUCUCAAAGCUACG